rnacentral:tRNA from 1 species
GGAGAGAUGGCUCAGCGGUUAAGAGCACUGACUGUUCUUCCUAGAGGUCCUGCGUUCAAUUCCCAGCAACCACA